UUCGGGGGAAAAAAAGGUAAGGAUGGUUCAGAUUUCAGAAACAUGGGAAUUUGAUUUCCACUUGAAUUUGGAGGUUACAUAUAUAACAGGCAGAAUAAGAAUGAGAAAGAAUGCUGCAAAGCUACGAAUUUCUACUUGAGUAUUCUUUUACACAGAAAAAUGCCAAUAUACAGGAAUACUAUUAAGAUAAGCUGAAAAUGAGUGUCGACUGGAUGUGCAAUAUACAUGGAAAUGCACAUAUGGAGACACAUGCUUUAUAACGAAUCGCUUGUUUGGGUUGACACAGCUGGCUUCUCAAUUGGUGCAGAUACGGAUUCGAGAUUCAGGUCUCCGACUGCCUUUGACGGACCAAUGUUGCAAUGCGGUUGUCUGUGAGUUUGGAUAGCAUCCUUUAUUUUCUGAAACUGCAGAUGAUAAGGAAAAGUAGCUAAUCAUUUUAUUUUGAAUAUUUCUUUAAAUGAUGCAGUUGCAUAAGAAAAUUGGUCGUCUAUACAUGCAAGUCAGAAGCCUAAAUAUGCAUAAAGAAGAGUCUUCUAGUACGUUGUCCUUCCACCUUGAAUAUUUCUCUUCCUAUUCACUUAACCAAAUAACCAGCACCAAAAAGAGGGAAAAAAGGAAUCAUUAUUCUAACAUGCAGCAUUUCAAGCAAGUUACAGUAUGCUGAAAGAUUCUUCUGAUGGUGCACCUAUGGUCGAGCAAGCAAUGUACUCUAGAACCAGAUUUCAAUGCAUCAACCUCUUUUUCAAGGACAGUGCUCUAAUGUUGGGCUAAAUUUUCCUAUGAUUAUUCUAUGGCUAACUUCUUUUUUUCUCCCUUUCUAUUCCAUUUCCCAGCAGCCAAGUGGAGAACAGUUAACUUAUACAAGUGCAAACAUGACCAUGGGCUCGGAGGGGAUAAAAUACAAACCUUGGCUAGCGAACAAGAAAAUGAUUCCAGUUGACCAUGUGCACCACGGUAGAAGUGGAAAUAAGGAAGCACCU
rnacentral:lncRNA from 1 species